rnacentral:rRNA from 1 species
AGAGUUUGAUCAUGGCUCAGAAUCAACGCUGGCGGCGCGCUUAACACAGCAAGUCGAGCGAGAAAGGGAGCAAUCCUGAGUAAAGCGGCGCACGGGUGAGUAACACGUGGGUAAUCUACCCUUGGGUGGGGAAUAACCCUGGGAAACCGGGGCUAAUACCGCAUAAGACCGCAAGGUGAAAGGUGAAAAUCGCCGAAGGAGGAGCCCGCGGCCGAUUAGCUAGUUGGUAGGGUAAAAGCCUACCAAGGCUUCGAUCGGUAGCCGGCCUGAGAGGGCACACGGCCACACUGGCACUGAAACACGGGCCAGACUCCUACGGGAGGCAGCAGUGGGGAAUCUUGCACAAUGGGGGAAACCCUGAUGCAGCGACGCCGCGUGAGCGAUGAAGCCCUUCGGGGUGUAAAGCUCUUUCGACCGGAACGAUAAUGACGGUACCGGGAGAAGAAGCUGCGGUUAACUACGUGCCAGCAGCCGCGGUAAUACGUAGGCAGCGAGCGUUGUUCGGAGUUACUGGGCGUAAAGCGUGCGUAGGCGGUUUUCUAAGUCUGGUGUGAAAUCUCCCGGCUUAACCGGGAGGGUGCGCCGGAUACUGGAAAGCUUGGAGUGCGGGAGAGGUAAGCGGAAUUCCUGGUGUAGCGGUGAAAUGCGUAGAUAUCAGGAGGAACACCGGCGGUGUAGACGGCUUACUGGACGUGACUGACGCUGAGGCACGAAAGCGUGGGGAGCAAACAGGAUUAGAUACCCUAGUAGUCC